rnacentral:lncRNA from 1 species
CAGCACGCGCUAUUCUUCUCACCACUUUUGUUAUCAUAGGUAUAUGAAUAAUGUAGCAUUCAUACAAAGCACAAGCCACUCGCUUUUCAGUUCACUGGUCUGCAAUGCACCGGCAGCACCGUAAGACGAGGAAUAUCACAGCCAAUCUGCAUACCACUUCCAGAAAACGCCAUCAAGAAUCAGACCAGAGCCAUCAUGCAUGUCUUGCCAUGCCAUGUCAUGCCAUGAUGCCCAUGGCUGUGAUCGGAGCGAUCCGCACACUAUGUUCAACUCCUCCUCCCCCAUCUUCAGACAACAGCUACCCUUCAUACGGCCUGCAGACCGAGCGUCCGGUCCAUCCACCUGAUGAUGUCGGCGGCGAUCUCGUCGCGCUCGGGUUCGAAGAGCAGGUCGUGCAGGAACCCCUCGUACAGCCGCAGGUCCUUGUGCCUCGACGCCGCCUCCCUGUAGAGCUCCUGCGAGGCCAGCGGGUCCGUCACCCGGUCCGCCGUGCCGUGCAGGACUACAAACGGGACAGUCACCUUCUUCAGGUUGUGCAGCAGGUAGGAGGAGAUGCGCAGGAUCUCGUGGCCCGUACGGACCCUGAUCGGCCCCGUGUAGACCAGCGGGUCAGAGUACUUUGCUAGCAGCGCCGCAGGGUCGCGGGACACCGGGAUGCCCCGCUUGUUGGCUCCCUUGAAUUGGAACUUGGGUGCAAUCAGAGAGAAUAUCGGUGCCACUGCCUGCAUUUGAUUCAGAUGAGUCUCAGUGAUGAAACACGACUUGCCAUGCAGGUAAACCAAAAAUAUAUCGCGAAUUUUGAAGUUUUAAAUUUUGUGGAUGAAUUCAAAAGCAGAGCUUCUGAAAUAGCUCUACUUUUGAUAUGAGCGUACAAUAUCAAAAGUUCUCAAAUCAGCAUAAUUUGGAAUAAUAAUAGGAAACCAGAAUAGUUCUAUUACCCCGACUAUCGGAUGCGCUGGUUUUACACGCACAGCUGGUGAAGUCAGGAUGAUCCCUUCCAGUCUGGUUCUGAUAUGGGCGUACAGCGACGCCUGCAAGAUGACAGCUAGUGAUGAGCAACCAUGAAACAAGUAAGUUAAGCGUUGUUAAAUGAGCAUCGUUAGCCAAACCAUUUCAACCAGGCUAUUUUGUUAAUGCUUUGCACCACUCUCCGCCGUCAGGGUAUCCAUUGUUCACAGGCCCAGAGGAGUAGGGUCAGUGUCUAGAUCUGGCCUAAAUACCGAUGACAAAAAAGCGAUUUAAUUCGACAGGCCAUACCUUCAAAACAACAGCUCCACCAGUGGAGUGGCCGAGUAGAAAACAAGGAACAUCUGGAUUCUCCAGCAUAAUUUUAUCAAGAAGUACUUCCUGCUCAGAGAUGAUAAUAUUGCAUUACAUCAGCCAUCAGGAACAGUAGCAAGGAAAAAAAUAGUGUGCUAUACAAAACAACGUCGACCUUAAAAAUAUGCUAUUACCGUGUUAUAGCAUUGCCAUUAGCAAGAUAUUGUACACUGAUCAAUUUAGCGACACAAUUCUCUACACAUUAUACCGUGCUAUUAGCGGCGCUAUAUCGUGCUAUUUUUUUCAGUGAACAGAAUAGCUUUGUGCCUUCUAUGGAAAAACCUUGAACAGGAUGUAGAAGUAGGUGGACAGACAGAGACUUACCAUGUCUUUUAUAACAUAGUCCAGAGAAGGAACAUAACCGUGCAGACCAUCACUCCCACCAUGACCUGUUAUGCAGAAGCUCAAGUUAGCCUGUUGAUGUUGAAACGAAUGCAAAAUUCAGUAGGCAUGCUCACACCUCACAGGAACAAAGAGACUGAAAACCAUGGAUAAUUUUCUCGAAGCACUGCUAGAUUCAUGGGAAUGAGUUGCAAGGUAAGAAUCCACAACUAUGCGGGUACAGCAUGACAACCUUAGCAUCGUUGCUUAUAUUUUACUACCUCCUAUAAAAAAAACUACUAUCUGGUUCUAAAUGUUUGUCAUAAUAUUACCAAUACCAGAUAGCUAGCUAACACCUAGUUAGCUUGAUACCUACAUGAUCCACACACACACACACAAAAAAAAAAAAAAAAAAAAAAAANNNN